UAUAGUCAAUGCUUGAACUUUCGUUUUCCAAAUUCCUUGCAUGAGAUCGAGUCAUGCAUCCUUCCUUUUCUCUACCACUCCAUUACUAUUCUCCGUCUUCUUCAAUGAAAACGAAAAGGCCAAAAUUCAGAGGGGGAAACCAAAAAACACACAUUAUGCACCCAGAAACUCUUCUGCUGCUUCCCUUCAUCCUUCUCUUGCUUCUAGCAUGCAUACUCCCUUCUCUAUCCGACGCAAAGAACUACUACCGAUACACCGAUUGCGCUCCGACGAACUACACUUGCGGGACGAUGAAGUUCACCGUUGGCUACCCGUUUCAGUUCGGCACCGCCCGACCAGACUACUGCCGAUAUCCGGGGUACUACCUCACUUGCACCGAUGACACCCUUCUGAUCAACAUCGACGAUGGAAUGAAGCCCUUCCAAGUGAAGAACAUCGACUACGGGAACCACCUCCUCACGCUCGUCGACCUGAAUUUUUCUGCCGAAACAUGCCCUCUACCAAACUACAACGUCACCAUCAACACCACCAUCUUUGAUUACAACGACCGCAAUACGAUGAUGACCAUAUACAACUGCAGUACUCUGCAAACACCCUUGCCUGCAGCCGACAUAUAUAAAAUCCCAUGUGCAGAGGAAAUAUCCGGGCAGUACUAUUAUUAUCGACUAAAUGACAAGGAUAGUGUGUUUGGGAAUUGCAUUUUGCUAUCGCAAGUUCUGGUGCAGAUAUCGGCGGCAAAUCAGUUGCUUGGUGAGAGUUUGAGCUUCGGAGAAGCGCUGAAUGAGGGUUUCAUGCUGCGGUGGACGGCGGGGAAGGGGUGGUGCAGUGACUGCAUAAGCUCUGGCGGGAACUGCGGGUAUAACACGGUCGCGCGGGACCAGCAAACCUGCUACUGCCCGGCCGGGACGGCUAUCGGAAAUUGCUCCCCAACAGGUACACCGAAUUAUGCUUCAUGCGAUAGCGCUUACCUGUUUGAACCUACCGCGCGAUUUGGUGUUGCUCGACCGAGUACCGCUUGCUUGAGUAGUACUUUUACGAACAGCGCCGGGCUAAAGUAUUUUUAGGUGCUUCUCUCAAUCGCAAAAUUACAAGUUUCAAAUGUUUUUUGCACGUCACGAUAGAAGCAAAAAUAGUCCCAAUCGACAGCAGAAGCAAAAAUAAAGCCAAAAAGGCACAGAUUCCGUUCUAGAGUCUUGGUUGCAAAUUGUUUCUUUCUCAAAUUUGCCGUUCAGGUGAAAAAUUCGGGUCUUAAAGAGAGAGAGAGAGAAAACUAAUUAAUGAGAUCAUGGGGCUAUUCUCUUGUUUUAGAUACAGGGGAGCACGAAUCAAGGUUUAAUUAUAGUUGCUCUAGUUAGUUAGCACAUAACUUUGGAUAAUUUUCUAUCAGAUUGAUUUUUUCGUUAACAAGAUAUUAGAAUCAGUCCCAAUCCAUCCUGCUUAACCCCUAUUUAACGCGUUUGUUAGUCACCACUUCUGUCAUUCAUCUCCUAUCAACUGUGGGGGGCAAAUUGAAGUUUACUCUUUUCUUUUCUUUUUUUUUCUUUUUUUUGAAGGAGCUUAAUAGGAGGCAACUUGACAUAGUAUUAUUGCACGUAAUUAAUGAAAGACCCCUUGGAUUUUGAGAAAUAUGAACCUAUUAUCUCAAAAUUCAAUAUUUCAAAAUGUUAACCAUUUAUAUUUAUACAUAUACAUUAUUUCUCAUAAACUUUUGUCACAUGACAGUACCAUAGUCUCUUCUUCUUAAAAUUUCUACUCUCCAAUCAUUGCGACCGCUCACCUUCCGCGUAACGUCUGCCUCUUCGGCUUUCCGUCUCAUUAAUUUCUUCUCUGUAAUGUCUGCCUCUUCGGCUUCCCGUCUAAUUAAUUCCUUCCCCGUAACAUAUGCCUCUUCGGCUUUCGGUCUCAUUAAUUCCUUAUUUGUGACGUCGCUGUUUCGACUUUCCGUCUCAUUAGUUUUUAUUUUUUAAGAGGCGUUGUCUGAGGAGCCCGUGGACACCACAUACGGCGUCCUUGACAACAACCUCGCCAAUAGUUUAUAAAAUUGGAAUUCUGAAUAUAUAUUUAUUAGGUUACUCAUUUUCAUUUCACUUUCUUUCUUUUUAUUGCUACUGUAGUAACUAAGCUCCCUCCUUCUCUUUUUCUAAAAUCUCAACUCUUUCUAACCUCACUCUAUUUCUCUUCCUAUUUCUUUAAUUAUGCUCUUUCUCUAUCUAACCUAUGCUCUCUCUUCUUUUUUUUCUAGAAAGAUGUUGAAAUUUUUUAUGACAUUAUCUAAAAUUAAUUAACGAAAGAAAUAAAUUAAUUAUAUAUUUUUCGUAAUCUUAAAUAACAUGACUAAAUAAUAUGAUCGUACGAACCAAACGCCGAAAUGCCAUAUUGUUAGUAAUAGAAUGAAUAGGAAUAAGAUUCUCGGAUAUUUUUUUACUUUUAGUAAUUUUUUAUAGUGCGAACCAAACGCGCCCUUAAUGUGUCCUUUCGCCGCCAUUGGAUGGCCGCAUGUGGUCAUAUUAUUGCAUCCCGUCGCGAAGCGCGGUCGGUGGGUUAUUUCACUAGUGUAGUUAGAAUAGUAUAGUCAAUGCAUGAACUUUCGUUUUCCAAAUUCCUUGCAUGAGAUCGAGUCAUGCAUCCUUCCUUUUCUCUACCACUCCAUUACUAUUCUCCCUCUUCUUCAAUGAAAACGAAAAGGCCAAAAUUCGGAGGGGAAACCAAAAAACACACAUUAUGCACCCUGCAGAAACUCUUCCGCUGCUUCCCUUCAUCCUUCUCCUGCUUCUAGCAUGCAUACUCCCUUCUCUAUCCGAUGCGGAGAACUACUACCGAUACACCGAUUGCGCUCCGAAGAAUUACACUUGCGGGACGAUGAAUUUCACCGUUGGCUACCCAUUUCAGAUCGGUAUCGACCGACCAGACUACUGCCGAUAUCCGGGGUACUACCUCACUUGCACUGGUAACGGCACCCUUCUGAUCAACAUCGACGACGGAAUGAUGCCCUUCCAAGUGAAGAACAUCGACUAUGGGAACGACCUCCUCACGAUGGUCGACCCGAAUUUUGCUGCCGCAGCAUGCCCUCUACCAAACUAUAACUUCACCAUCAACACCACCAUCUUUGAUUACAACGACCGCAAUACGAUGAUGAUCAUAUACAACUGCAGUACUCCGCAAACAUCCUUGCCUUCCGGCAUAUAUUCAGUCCCAUGUGCGGAGGAAAAGUCCGGGCAGUACUAUUAUUAUCGACUAAACGACGA
rnacentral:lncRNA from 1 species